rnacentral:rRNA from 1 species
UACAGAGGUCUCAAGCGUUGUUCGGAUUCAUUGGGCGUAAGGGUGCGUAGGUGGCGCUGUAAGUCGGGUGUGAAAUUCGGAGCUUAACUACCAAACUGCAUUCGAUACUGCGGUGCUUGAGGACUGGAGAGGAGACUGGAACUUCAUGGUGUAGCAGUGAAUGCGUAGAGAUCAUGAGGAAGACCAGUGGCGAAGGCGGGUCUCUGGACAGUUCCUGACACUGAGGCACGAAGGCCAGGGGAGCAAACGGG